rnacentral:piRNA from 1 species
UCCAUUUCCGACUCGGAGUCGGAGCCGGA